AUGGGAGAGUUGAGGUCAUGCAUGAAGGGCCCAUCGUCAUCGAUGUACCAACAUGGCGCAUCAUGGUCUAGGUCCCUUCUUGUUAGCAUCUUGCAGGUUUAUAUGUAUGCGAGUCAAGAUGGACAGAGAUCAAUGUAUGUAAAGUGGAAUACUAUAGCUAUAGCUUGCCUGUGGAGGGCCAUUCUCAUUGGUCUCGAGGCGGUACUCAUGCAUGAUCCAGUCGGAUUUCUGGCCAUUGGGAGCUCUGCCCUUGUAAUACACCAGGGUCUUCCUCAUGCCAACCAGGCAGUGCUUUGCAUAGAUGGGUUUGUCCCUCCCCGUCGCCUUCCAGAAACCCGCCGCGGUAGCGCGGUUUGUCCGAGUCCCUGUCGGGUACUUCUUGUCCUUGUGGCUGAAGAAGUACCAGUCGCUCUGCUCCUCCUCAGGCCCUAUCCUGCAUUUCUCUGUACACAAAUGAAUGGUAUAGAAGAUCAGCAAAAACAUACUAUGUGGUCAAGGCUACACUAA
rnacentral:rRNA from 1 species